rnacentral:lncRNA from 1 species
UUUUUUUUUUAAUGUGACUUCUUGUUAUUCUUUGUAAAAAAUUAAUGAGCUUUUUCCAUAGGAAUCCCAUUUCCUCAAAUUUUUAUUUUGAGAUUGGUUAAAUUUAUUAUGAUUAAUGUACAACGUUCUUGCUUUUAAUUGGGAAUACACUUUGAUUGAUAGUGUAAACCCCAACAAAUAAAGAUUUGAAAAUCUAAGACAAUAAUUAAUUGAAUAAUAAUUUUUAGAUAACGAAUGAUGAAUUCUAUUUUGGUGAUUCCUAAUUUGAAUAAGCAAUAAAAUCAACAUAUUUUCUUUAUUAUUAUUUUUAUCAUUUUGUUAGGAAGUCAACAUAUUUUUAUGAAUAGUGUAAAUUUAACGUUCUUGCUAGGAAAUACGGUUAGAAAUUUUAUCAUUUUGGUUGUUAUUUUAUUUUUGUUAGUUUAAUUUUACUUUUUUAUCACUAACAUUUUCUUUUUCUCUAUUGUUCUAGCAUUUAUUUUUUUUUAUAGUUAUUUUAAUUUGUAAAUUUAUUAUUUUAAUUAUUUUUAUCAUAAUUUUUGUUUGAGGAUACAUUUGUUACAUAAUUUGUAAAACUAGUUAGAGAACACUUUGACUAAGAAAAAAUAAGGUACUUUAGUUGUCCAUUAAAACAUAGUUUUUCUUGUAAGUUUUACUUAUUUCUUUUCAAAAAACCUCUUUAAAGAUGCAAAAGAAUUUUCAUAUGAAAAUAAUCAACAGUGCGAUUUUCAAAUGAACUAUGACUAGUAUCCAUAACAACCACAUGAUUUAAGUAGUGUAACAUUUCAUUUUAUGUCUAGUAUUAAAGGUCAAGUACUUUUUAACAAUCUUGCUUAAGUUGUAGGAAGAACAAUAUUUACAAUUAACUUAAGCUAAUAUUGGGUGAUUAGUUUUUUAAUCCUAACUUGGUGGAAGGUGUCCCACGUUAGAUAUGAUGGCAUGGAUUUGUGUAUGUGAAAUUUUCUAUAGUUCUGAUAUCUAAUUAUAAUUUGAUCAGAUCAUACACUUUACUUCGUUAGACACAUUAACAUAUAUCUUCAUUACUUCAUUAACAUAUAUCUUCAUUACUUUAUAUAUUUUGUUAUCGACAAACCAUAAUUAGAAAACCACUGAAAAAAAAAAUAUUCCAUGUCUCUCAAAAAACCAAGAAAAUGAAGUGACAUUAACAUUACAAACUUUUUUUUUGGAUAAAAUUACAAGACAUACUAAGGUAUUAGUAGCAGGACUUACAACAGCUACAACUAAUUUUAGUUUUAAUAAUGGAUUAAAAACCACCAAAUAAAAAUGUGGGGAAGAAGAAAGGACAAGAACUAAUAGAUCACUAUUACAAAACUCAAAUCUAAGUCCUUUUUUUCGUCAUUUCAUCAUAAUCAACAUUUCUUCAUUUAGAAUUUUUUGGACAUAACUUGAUCACUUGGCCAUCAUCACCUUAACGAACUCCUCGUAGUUUAUUUGGCCAUCACCAUCAACAUCAGCCUCACGAAUCAUCUCAUCAACCUCUUCAUCGGUGAGCUUCUCUCCAAGGUUUGUCAUCACAUGGCGGAGCUCAGCAGCAGAGAUGAACCCAUUUUGAUCCUUGUCGAAUACCCGGAAUGCCUCUUUGAGCUCCUCCUCAGAAUCA